GCUAGCGUAGCUCAGUUGGUAGAGCAGCUGAUUUGUAAUCAGCCGGCCGUGGGUUCGAGUCCCUCCGCUAGCU
rnacentral:tRNA from 2 species